rnacentral:rRNA from 1 species
AGAGUUUGAUCCUGGCUCAGAACGAACGCUGGCGGAGUGCUUAAUACAUGCAAGUCGUGCGUGAUUAUCUAGCAAUAGAUAUGAAAGCGGCGAACGGGUGAGUAACACGUAAGCAACCUUCCUCUAAAUCUGGGAUAACCUUUCUAACGAGGGGCUAAUACCGGAUGUGGUUUGAGAUACACAGGUAUUUUAAAUUAAAGGUGACCUCUAUUUAUAAGUUACUGUUUAGAGAUGGGCUUGCGGAUCAUUAGCUAGUUGGUGAGGUAACGGCCCACCAAGGCAGAGAUGAUUAGCCGACCUGAGAGGGUGAUCGGCCACAUUGGGACUGAGAUACGGCCCAGACUCCUACGGGAGGCAGCAGUAGGGAAUAUUGCGCAAUGGACGAAAGUCUGACGCAGCAACUCCGCGUGAAGGAUGACGGCCUUAGGGUUGUAAACUUCUGUUGAGUGGGAAGAACCGGUAUAUAAAUAAUAAGUAUAUACUCUGACGGUACCACUUUAGAAAGCUCCGGCUAACUACGUGCCAGCAGCCGCGGUAAUACGUAGGGAGCGAGCGUUGUUCGGAAUCACUGGGCGUAAAGCGAACGUAGGCGGGGAUGUAAGUUAGGAGUGAAAUUUAUCGGCUCAACCGGUAAUCUGCUUUUAAUACUGCAUUUCUUGAGUAUGGGAGAGGAUGAUGGAAUUCCAGGUGUAGCGGUGGAAUGCGUAGAUAUCUGGAAGAACACCAGUUGCGAAGGCGGUCAUCUGGCCCAAUACUGACGCUGAGGUUCGAAAGUUGGGGGAGCGAACAGGAUUAGAUACCCUGGUAGUCCCAACCGUAAACGAUGGAUACUAGUUGUUGGGGUUGUUAUGAUUUCAGCGACGAAGCUAACGCGUUAAGUAUCCCGCCUGGGGAGUACGCUCGCAAGAGUGAAACUCAAAGGAAUUGACGGGGGCCCGCACAAGCGGUGGAGCAUNNNNNNNNNNNNNNNNNNNUGAAACUCAAAGGAAUUGACGGGGGCCCGCACAAGCGGUGGAGCAUGUGCUUUAAUUCGAUGCAACGCGAAGAACCUUACCUGGUCUUGACAUGUGAGUGCAAUCCUUUAGAGAUAGAGGACCUUCCGCAAGGAACAUUCAACACAGGUGCUGCAUGGUUGUCGUCAGCUCGUGUCGUGAGAUGUUGGGUUAAGUCCCGCAACGAGCGCAACCCUUGUCCUUAGUUGCCAGCACGUUAUGGUGGGAACUCUAGGGAGACUGCCUGGUUUAACCAGGAGGAAGGUGGGGAUGACGUCAAAUCAUCAUGGCCCUUACGACCAGGGCUAGACACGUGCUACAAUGGGCGGUACAGAGGGUUGCUAUGCAGUGAUGCAAUGCUAAUCUCUUAAAACCGUUCUCAGUUCGGAUAGAAGUCUGCAAUUCGACUUCUUGAAGUUGGAAUCGCUAGUAAUCGCGGAUCAGAACGCCGCGGUGAAUACGUUCCCGGGCCUUGUACACACCGCCCGUCAAGCCAUGAAAGACGGUAGUGCCCAAAGUCGCUUCUCUAACCGCAAGGAAGAGUGCGCCUAAGGUAAGACUGUUAAUUGGGGCUAAGUCGUAACAAGGUAGCUGUAUCGGAAGGUGCGGCUG